AUUGUAUUCAAGCAAUCAAAGUGAUAACAAAAUGGAUACCAGUGUAUACGUUAUUUUAUGUUGCCUUGUACUUGGUGUAGAUGUGUCUUGCUCGUGUGGGGCAUUGACAAUUAUUAAGCCUACAUUUGUUAACAGAAACGUCACUUUAAAAUUCAUCCCUCACAACCAAUGGAUCACAAACAUUGCCUGGAAGUAUACUCCGGUGUGGGACGAAACAAACGAACACACAGUAGAAGGGCUGAAGGGACGUUUUACACAAACUGUUCAGGAUGCGUCAAACUAUCAUACUUUCUUGUUCUAUGCGAACAUAUUUUACAAUAAUUCAAAAUUUCAUGUUCAAUGUAGCAAUCUAAAAGAUGUCACAAGAUCAAACACAGUAAAGAUACACUUACAUGAAAUCAAGACCAAAUGUGGCAAUCUGGUCCUCCUAUCCCCGGAAAUAAAAUAUGGAAAAAAUGUUCAAUUAGCGUUUUACCCUUCUGAUGCUACAUUGGCCAACGAGAAAAAUUUGUAUAAUGAACGUACAAUGUUAAAAUGGGUUGGACAGCCACUGCACCUUCGAGAGGUCAUUUUUGAAAAGAGGAAAAUGUCAGCUUAUUUGUACACAAUAUACAACUUUACGGAGAAUAAAGCUGGACAUUACACUUUGAAAUGUAAUAGACCAGAAACAUUUUACACUAACUGGGUAAACAUACAAAUAACUGAAAGGCAGCUAAUUGGACCAGUAUGGAAUGAUUGCCUUUACGGUAAUGUAGACACUACCAUUUAUUGCAACUCAAGUCGUAUAAUAGGAAAACCUCGUGUGACCCUUUCCAUUGAAAUCAAAGGAGUUACAAUUCUAGCGAACAAAACAGAGCCAGGGGUAUAUACAGUUGUACUUGGCUAAAACACUUGGAGAGACCAUGACGGCGAUGUUAUAACAUGCACCGUCUCUAACGAUAAUUAUAUACAUGACCUGAAGAGUUCAGCUAAAUUGUGUUACAUGGAGAAAGGCUCGGACCCUUUUUCGACCAUGCCAGAAUAUAUCCACAAUGAAAAUACGACAGUCAGUUGCGAGGUGUCAAAUGCACGCCCACCAGCGAUGAUUGAACUGUUGGUAGACAACCUAGCGAUCAUUGAUGUCAUUCAAGUGGAUUCUAUUAACAAAACAUCAAAAACAUACUCCAGUAAAGCUUUGAUAUCAAAGAUAGACAAGAAAUGGAAUGGAAAGGAAAUAUGCUGUCGUCGAAAAUUUACAAUAUACGGAAAUAUAGGAGCAAGCUGUAAAACAUUAAAAAUAAAAUGCGGUUUAGAGAAUGACACACAAGCAAAUGGUCUAUGUAAUGAGACGAAAUGGACGUCAAAUUUAACUGAAACGAAAGAGAACAGGAAAAUUGAACAAAAACCAACAAAUCCUACGAAGAAUGGAACUAAAUUCUGCCAGGAACCAACGAUUGUUGCAGGAACGAAUUUUUUCUUAAUAUAACAGAAUUUUACUUUCUUGUAUAUCUUUAAAUUUGAUUUACCUUUUAAGAAUAUGUAUUUCUUGGGUUAAAUACGUUUGAUUGAAAAAAUAUUUUUACAUUGAAUCAUGUAAAUGUAAUGGUGUUUUAUCGCUAUUACAGGCGACAACAGUAGACGGUCGUUCAAAGUUUUGCUUAAGCCAAUAUUGAUAGGAUCAGGAGCGUUUGUUGCUCUUUGUAUAUUUGUUGGGUCAGCAAGAACACUGGUACGGUGGCAUAAGAGUAGAAGCAGAACCAAGGUACCGGACAAAACAGAAGUCACACCAUCAGCGAUCGAAACUUCUCCCUCUCUUGAUACAAACGUGUUUGUGGAAAUACCUGAGACAUCAAUUCCUAUGAAUGCUUCUCACGAUCUGGUAGAUUAUGUUAUUGAAGAUACGGGAAGAAACAAUAAUGGCCCGGAAGCAAACCACAGCUAUUGAGUCACAGCAUGCGGAAAGCAGUCUGAUUUACGCGAAUCUGGACAUUGACCAUCUACAGAAAGCCUUUGUCGGUCCGAUACGUGGCCCACGUCCAACCAUACGAAAAGAAGCAACGGAGUAUCAAGAUAUAGACUUUUAUCACACAAAACCUGCGGGUCCACAUUAAAUAUAAUAAGAAACGUGUAGAAACGCGUAGAUUGUGUAAUGACUCUGGCAAAACAGGAUGACAACAUUGCAUACUGUAGUCUGCAGACUGUGUUAUGACUGUUGCUUGUACUUGCAGCGCGUAAAUUGUGUUAUAACAGCAUUGCUUUUGUGUUGAUUGUGUCAUGACUGUUGAGAAACAGGAUGACUUCAACGCUUAUACAUGCAACGCGUAGAUUGUGUAAUAACAGCAUUGAUUCUGUUUAAACUGUGUUAUGAUUGAUGCAAACCAGGAUAAUUUUAUUGAUAUGUAAACCGAGAAGAUUGUGUUAUGAAUGUUGCGGAACAGGUUGGCUUAAUUGCUUAUGUGUAUUUAGCGCAGCAUGUGUAAUGACUUUUGCAAAACAGGAUGAAUUCAUUAUUUAUAUGUAACUCGUGUAUAUUGGUUAACUGCUGUUGUAAAACAGAAUCACUACAUUGCAUUGAUAUAACUCAUAUAGAUUGUGUAAUGGACGAAUGGCAAUUACAAAACAGAAUUACUUCAUGGUUGAUAUGUAAAUCAGGUAGUUCGUAUUAUAACUUAUUCAAAACAAGAUGACAACAUUCCUGAUAUGUUAAACGCGUAGAUUGUACAAUGACUAUUGCAAAACAGGUGGACCUCAUUGCUUAUAUCUGAAGGUGUAGAUUGUGUAAUGACUUUUGCAAACAGGAGGACCCGACUACUAAUACGAGGGUGUUAGGGAAGUUCGCGGGAUUUCAAUAUACUUGUCGUAAAAUGGGGUAUUCUAAAAAAGAAAAUUCGGCAUAAUAAUAUUUUAUAUUUUGUUAUGCAAAUUUAUCAUUUCCUAACGAUAACAUUAAAACGUAUAUCCAUUAGUGUAAAUACAAAAUGACCGUCCAAUACACUCCGGUUCACGGGUGACGUUACAUUACGUAAACAACGUCAAAAUCUAGCACUUUAUUGACUUUCUAAACAUAGUCUCCGCCCGUCAGUUCACAUUUUUUAUGUCUGCCAAUCCAUUUACGGUAAGUGUCAAAUGUAGACACGAUCCACUGUGUCGUCUGUUGAAGGUUGUCUCCGCAACUGCCGCUUUAUCUCCGGAAAAAAACAUGGAAGUCAAUUGGGGCCAGAACGGGGAUGUUUCAAUAUCUAACCCCAAAACAUAAUUUCAAGCUGUGUGGACGCUGCUCUAUGUGCCGGGGCAUUAUCCUGGUGGAUAAUAAUGCGGUCAAUGUCCAUAUUCCGCCGAUUCUUUUGAAUCGCGUGCACGAGAUCCUUCCGCAGUACUUUGGAGUUAUAAUCGCCAUUAACUGUCCUACCUGGAAUGCGGUGUUGCAGAAUCUUGCACUCUCGAUCCCUGAAGAAAAUAUACAUUUUUUUAAAGUUUUUUGUUUGCACUUUAGCUUUCUUUGGCAAGGGCGUUCUGGGAGUUUUCCAAUUGGUUGUUGUACUUUGGUUUCAGGGUCGUAGUAACAGUGCCACAUCUCGUCCGUUGUGAUUAUGCACCUUAGAAAUUCUUCUCCCUCCGUGUCUUAACGUUGAAGACAGACAAACAGGCCGAACGUCCUUCCGCUUCUUUUAACGAACGAGCCACACAUGAUGCACUUACUUAGGACAUUUCUAGUUCAUUUGUUAAUAAUUCGUAUACAGAAGUCCAUUUAAGUUCAAGGUUUUCUGCUAUGGUUCUCGUUGUUGUUUUUCUGUCUUUGUUGAUUAGUUCAUGGACUCUCUCCACGUUUGCAGCUAAUAUCACUUACGGGCGUACACUCCUGUCUCCAUCCUCAAUCGAUAUUCUUCAAUUCCGAAACCGCUAAUGCCAUUUGUAAACGAACGUUUUCCCGCCAAAUUAUACCUUAGACGAUUCUUUAAUAAGUUUUAGAAUUUUGGACGCAUGACUUCCUCAGUACAACACAAACUUUCACCAUUUUGCGCUAUUCAACAUCACCCGUUGACGUUAUGGUGUUACAGUUGUUUUGCGAAAGAUGUUGCUAAUACACAAUCAAAUCCUAACGAUAGCAACUACAACGUUCACAUUUUAAGGAAAUGACGUCAAGAUGCGCACCUAACGUGGCGACUUUUGGGGGGAAAUUUGGCAUUGAUUGAGUGAUAAAAACCGUGAUAAUUAUCGUUUAACGUGUUUGAAAUUUGUACGUGCUCCGGGUUACUGUCAGUGCGUCGAUUCAAAAUUCAAGUAAAAAUAUUGCUUAGUUACUCAUACAUACAAUUUCAGAGAAAUAGAAGAACAAAUUACCAUUUACAGAAUAUUCCCGCGAACUUCCCGAAAACUCCUCGUAUGUCAAUUUACAAAACCUGAUGACUACAUUACUUAUUUAUGAAACGCAUCGAUUGUGUAAAACCUAUUGCAAAGCAGGAUAGCUACAUUACUUACAUGUAAAACGCAUCGAGUGUGUAACGACUGUUGCAAAGCAAUAUGGUUACAUUACUUAUAUGUGAAACGCGUAGACUUUGUAACGACUGUUGCGAAGCAAGAUGGCUACUUUACUCGUAUGUGAAACGCGUAGACGGUGUAAUGACUGUUACAAAGCAAGAUGGCUACAUUACUCGUAUGUGAAACGCGUAGACGGUGUAAUGACUGUUGCAAAGCAAGAUGGCUACAUUACUCGUAUGUGAAACGCGUAGACGGUGUAAUGACUGUUGCAAAGCAAGGUGGCUACAUUAUUCGUAUGUGAAACGCGUAGACUGUGUAAUGACUGUUACAAAGCAAGAUGGCUACAUUACUCGUAUGUGAAACGCGUAGACGGUGUAAUGACUGUUGCAAAGCAAGAUGGCUACAUUACUCGUAUGUGAAACGCGUAGACGGUGUAAUGACUGUUGCAAAGCAAGGUGGCUACAUUAUUCGUAUGUGAAACGCGUAGACUGUGUAAUGACUGUUACAAAGCAAGAUGGCUACAUUACUCGUAUGUGAAACGCGUAGGCGGUGUAAUGACUGUUACAAAGCAAGAUGGCUACAUUACUCGUAUGUGAAACGCGUAGACUGUGUAAUGACUGUUGCAAAGCAAGAUGGCUACAUUAUUCGUAUGUGAAACGCGUAGACUGUGUAAUGACUGUUACAAAGCAAGAUGGCUACAUUACUCGUAUGUGAAACGCGUAGACGGUGUAAUGACUGUUACAAAGCAAGAUGGCUACAUUACUCGUAUGUGAAACGCGUAGGCUGUGUAAUGACUGUUGCAAAGCAAGAUUGCUACAUUACUCGUAUGUGAAACGCGUAGGCUGUGUAAUGACUGUUGCAAAGCAAGAUGGCUACAUUACUCGUAAAUGACUGUUGCAAAACAGAAGGUCUAGAUUAUAAAUUAUUCCAAACGAUCGUAGAUUUGGAAUCUAAUAUGGCUAAACAAUUAGGACCGGAUGCAUGAGAAAACGUGUUAAUUGUGUAUUGAUGGGCAUAUGAAAGUACAUGUUAUAUAAUCUUUAUGAUGCACAAUCUAAUAUCCAUACAAUAAUAAUCAUUAUUUGGUGAAAAAAUAAAUGACGUUUAUAAUGAAUUGCGCUAUCUU